rnacentral:rRNA from 1 species
CCUACGGGUGGCAGCAGUGAGGAAUAUUGGUCAAUGGGCUUACGCCUGAACCAGCCAAGUCGCGUGAGGGAAGACUGCCCUAUGGGUUGUAAACCUCUUUUGUCAGGGAGCAACGCCGGCUACGUGUAGCCGGACUGAGAGUACCUGAAGUAAAAGCAUCGGCUAACUCCGUGCCAGCAGCCGCGGUAAUACGGGGGAUGCGAGCGUUAUACGGAGUGAUUGGUGUAAAAGGGUGCGUAGGCGGAAUGCCAAGUCAGCGGUAAAAUCGCGGGGCUCAACCUCGCUCCGCCGUUGAAACUGGCGUUCUGGAGUGGGCGAGAAGUAUGCGGAAUGCGUGGUGUAGCGGUGAAAUGCAUAGAUAUCACGAAGAACUCCGAUUGCGAAGGCAGCAUACCGGCGCCCAACUGACGCUGAAGCACGAAAGCGUGGGUAUCGAACAGGAUUAGAUACCCUUGUAGUC